GCAGCAGCUGUGUCAAGACAGUCCUAGUAACAUUCACCACAAUAUGUUCAUAGACUUCGAUUUCUGUGAGAAAACCUCUUUAUAGCUAAACGACUGUUUGUGUUAUCACGUUUAACUACGUUUUGCAAUUAGAACGACUCUGAAUCAUAUAUUUUAUGGAUUUUUACUGGAAAGAGCACCGUGUCCUCAUCUUAAACUCAACAACGUUUAAAGUCAGUCACCGAUAACUCCCAGAUGACGUGCGACUUUUGUUAUAUAUUACUGGUAAAAAAAAGAUAGAAUAUAUUCUUGAGUUGAAGAAAUUGUGGAUGUAUUACAUUCUUUGUUAUAGUUAAUUCAGUAUCAGACUUCAUGCCACAGAUGUCCUGUUAAAAUGCAAUUAGAAUUGGAGUUUUUAUUGAUGUAUUGAACAAUGUAUGUUUGAAAACUGGAAUUCCUUUAAAGGUUGUUUAUUUACUAGUAACGUUUCAAAGAAGAUAUUGGAGUGCGUCGUAAUUAAAUAAUGAAUAGAGUUUGGUGUAUUUUGUAGAGCAGUGAUAUACAAUACAAUAUAUAUAAUAUUUCAAGUAACAUUACAACAGAAAUGGAAUGUCCUGUAUUAGCAAAUAAAACUGUUAUAGUUACUCAAAACAAUAUAAAUUCUGUUGUAUUAAGUAGUUAUAUCAGACGUGUUAAUACUGUUGUUAAGGUUUCAUGUUUAAGUAAACCAGAUUAUAAACCUGUUGGUCAGACAACUAUAACAUGUCAAGAGAACACAAACUGGAGCCAUCCACUACCAAAAUGUAUGAGACUUGCUGCAACAACUGAGCCAACAGUAACGGAUAUAAAAGAAAGAACGGGGAACAUUGUUAAUAAUGAUAUUAGUAUGCUACCUAUGAUAGUUGUACUCGCAUUAUUUUCUCUGUUGUGCAUAUUUGCUCUUGUGUUGAUAAUAUUUGCUGCAAGAAAUUGGAAAAGAAACCAAAAGAAACCGCUGACAGAAUCAUCUAGCCUUGACAGAAAUAGUCAACCAAUUAGUCAACCAGCCAGUCAACCAACCGCUCAGACGUUCAAUCAACCAAGACACAUAUUCCCGACCUUCAACUCAUCACCACAUAGUUUAUUUAAUAACCCAUUCAGUACGGACUGGGAAUCGGCGUCUGCUGGCGAUGCCUAUAAUUUAGCUCUGGACGACAAUAGUGAUUACAUCUAUAACGGAUCGACAGUAACUGCUAUUGAUAAAAAUAAAACUAGACCAUCUAGACCCUGGUAUUGUAAUAUACCACAAAAUGGUGUGUCUAUGUCAAACUUAACAAAUGAUUCAGAGGAGAAAUUCUGAAAGGUGUUGCCUUGUGAUAUUACAUACAUUUCAACCUGAACAAGUUUGUGUUAUUGUUUAAAUAAUGAUCCAUCAUAUGGUGCAAUUAAAAAAUGUGGGUAAUAUACUGCGACGCAAUUAAAACCCCGCCACUUUUAUAAAUGGAUGAUUGUAAAUUUUGUUUACUUUAAUUUAGCAAAGAAACACAGAUCACAAUGAUGACACCUGAGAAUGGUGUUUUCCCGAUCCCGUAUUCGCACUCAAAGAUCAGUUGAAUUUGACAGACUAGGAUAUAAAAUGGGUCUUUUUAACAAGCUAGGGCCAGUACAUAUCUGCAGAAGACGCAUUGCGUUAGUUCAAGAGAACAUUGGUACCACAUACGUAGCUCGAUGGUUUGGGUGCCAACUCUUGGGACGACAACGCCUCGACAAGACAUACGUUACUGACUUUUGAUUUUUACCAUUCGUGCCUAAGUUUUAUUCAAAACUUGUUGUGACCCCCGUUGUUGAUUUUCUUGCGUUGGCUUGACUUACUGCAACCAUGCCAAAAAUCACAUUUCAGCUGCCUUAUGUCUCGACAGCUCUUCCAGUCAAAUUCGUGGUGGGUUUGCAUUGCGUCUCAGUGUAUGAAAAGUUACUGUACAUCUCCAACGCCAAUCUUUGGACACACCCAUUGUAAUAAAUAUAUUUUUUAAGAAUACUGUUUGGAAAUAACUUCAAAGAUAUAACCAAGGAUACUUAAAUACAUAAUGAACAUUUCUUUUGGGCUUUUGUGUACGGACCUGAAAUGUGUAUUAAAAGUAACAGUGCGGAACUGUGAAAGAAAGAUUGUCUUGUUGUACAGUACAUUUAUCUAAGAGAGAGAGAGAGAAAUGGGGUUUAACGUCCACUCGACACAAACUAGGUCAUUUUGGGACUAACAUAUGGUUUAAUUUUAUUUCAAUAAUUCGCUUGCGCGUAGGGGUCUUUAGCAGUGGGGGGAAACCGGAGGACCCGGAGAAAACCCAUUUAUCUAAGAAGAGAGCCCUGUAUGUAUUGUUUUAUCAUGCAACAGAUUGAUAUACGAAGAUCAGCUAACAAAGCCAAGGACACUAAAUAAGGCGCGCCUCCGACUCAAAAUGUGAUCAUAACCACAAAUCAAUUAACAUAAAGACCAUGUGUAUAUAUAC